ensembl:lncRNA
CUAGCCUUGAGCUCACAGCAAUCCUCCUGCCUCAGUCUCCCGAGUACAGGAAUGACAGGAGGACCCCAGGAGGGGCUGGGCAGGGUCUCUGGGGCCCGGGCUUUUUAUCUCUCGGUGGCAGUGAACCUGCGGUGGCUGCAUGGCUGUGGACGGAAGCAGAGCCUGCCUUUCCUGGCUGCCACGGUAACUCGGCUCUGUUUGCCCAGAAGCUGAAGGAUCCUACCUUACAGUGACUGCAGGCCCUGGAGGACGCAGAUAAGGCCAGCGGCUUUGUGAGGAGCCCACAGGUCCCCCAGCUGCUGCCACCAGGAGAAAGAACUCCGUGCUUGGAACAGGAGUGUUUUGUUUUCCUAGAUUCCUGGAGGCACUGCCGAGAACAAUGCAGCCAGCCCUGGUGUCCCGCGGCUGCCGGCUCUCCCUGCCCGUGGAGCCUGACGUGGAUGUGGCCGAGCCUGGGGCCUGCGAUGGACCGCUCAGUGAACAGUUAGCUUAUUAAUCAGACAUCGGGCUUGGUCACAGGGAUGGCCACCUGCCCACCCCGUAUGGCUCCUCGGAAGGGAGGAGUGACGACUCCCACUUCCUAGGCUGUGGGGAGGAUGUGGGGCGGAGACCCGGCUAGUGGAUGGCUGUGCCCUACUGCGACACACCCGUGUCCACCCGGAUCCAAGCUCACCGGAAGCCACCUGCUCCAGCCUCGCCUGCCUUCCUGUUCCUCACCUUCCAACCCCUGGCUCACCCAUCCUGGCUGCCUGGCCUCGGAGCUCACCGCAGGCCCUUUGCUUGGCCGGGGCCUCCACCUACUGUGUCCUUCCCUGCCUGGCUUGCCCAGUUGUCUCUGGGCUUCACCGCAUGUCCUCAGAGAGAAUGAUCCGUCGUCGUUUGGUGUGUGAGCGAUUGACACAAUGAGGGGAUUCGGAGAAGCAGCUGUGCAGAAAUCUGCGGUGAUAGGGAGGUUGCAUUAGUUACACGAUCUCGAUAUUUAUUUUUGAACAAAACUAACUUUCUUUCGUGCAGGUUUUAGAUCUUCUGGGGGCUCAGUCUCCCCUGCUUAAAAUAGUGGUUAAUCAUUUUUUAUUUUGAUUCACGG